rnacentral:rRNA from 1 species
CGGCAGCACGGGGGCAACCCUGGUGGCGAGUGGCGAACGGGUGAGUAAUACAUCGGAACGUGUCCUGUAGUGGGGGAUAGCCCGGCGAAAGCCGGAUUAAUACCGCAUACGCUCUACGGAGGAAAGGGGGGGAUCUUAGGACCUCUCGCUACAGGGGCGGCCGAUGGCAGAUUAGCUAGUUGGUGGGGUAAAGGCCUACCAAGGCGACGAUCUGUAGCUGGUCUGAGAGGACGACCAGCCACACUGGGACUGAGACACGGCCCAGACUCCUACGGGAGGCAGCAGUGGGGAAUUUUGGACAAUGGGCGCAAGCCUGAUCCAGCAAUGCCGCGUGUGUGAAGAAGGCCUUCGGGUUGUAAAGCACUUUUGUCCGGAAAGAAAUCCUUUGCCCUAAUACGGCGGGGGGAUGACGGUACCGGAAGAAUAAGCACCGGCUAACUACGUGCCAGCAGCCGCGGUAAUACGUAGGGUGCAAGCGUUAAUCGGAAUUACUGGGCGUAAAGCGUGCGCAGGCGGUUCGCUAAGACAGAUGUGAAAUCCCCGGGCUUAACCUGGGAACUGCAUUUGUGACUGGCGGGCUAGAGUAUGGCAGAGGGGGGUAGAAUUCCACGUGUAGCAGUGAAAUGCGUAGAGAUGUGGAGGAAUACCGAUGGCGAAGGCAGCCCCCUGGGCCAAUACUGACGCUCAUGCACGAAAGUGUGGGGAGCAAACAGGAUUAGAUACCCUGGUAGUCCACGCCCUA